GUAGGCAGUAAUCCAAUAUGGCCGCCGCCACUACGACGCGAGUCAAAUAGUUCCCCGUUAAAACGGCGUUAAAACUAAAUACAGAGUAAAAAUAUUUAACGACGAAACUGCACGACUCGAUCGUCAGUAAUAAAAAGUGGAGUUAACGACGUAGGAUAUAUUUUGAAUUAUCCACAGACCCUCAGACUGUUGUUAGUACGAAUAGAGGACACCGGCGCGCUGAUUCCGGCCUGACUCUUAUCUAAUGUAAAACAAAGCGUGAAGAGGUCGCCGUCACGCGAGCCAAGGGCUGUCUCAUCAGCGUUCGCAGAAAGAAAACUAAUCCGUCAACACAGGCCCUGACAAAAAGAUGUCAUAUUCUCUUCAUCUCGAACCUCAAAUUCCUUCACGGCUCUGCUGCUCGGAUUUAUUGAAUGGACAGGCGAGAAAGGAAAAAGUGAUUCAUAGACGGAUGACGCACCACUGAAUAGAAGCUCCAUACGACUUCCCUAAGCUAGAUUAUAUAUAGGGUGUAUAAGAGAUUUAAAGAAUUUUUACAAGGCUCCUCUAUAUACUCCUACGUCUUCAAAACGUUUACGUUAGGGAGCCAGAGUGUAGAGACGCGUGCAGUCAUCAUUAUAAUUAAUGGAUAAACACACUUGGACUCUUCGACUUGUAUACGUACACUCGGGAGCGCAGUAGGCAGUGAACAGUGUAUUACCCACCGUAUGUUGCACAAGAAACAUUAAGCCGUAAGGGAAUCGAAAGCUGUUUUUAAAAUAGAGGGUGCAGGUACCGGGUGAACAAAAAAAAUUGCACGAGACUCGAAGCUUUACGGAACUACGUCAAGAGCCAAAUAAACUGCCGAUAAUUGACCAAUUAUCAUCCACGGGCUGUUACGAGGCUUAAACGUAGCCUUCGAAAAUUGAAGGGUCGGUAAAACAGAGUCACUCGGUGUAAUAGCCAUCACGAGAAGCUUUGAUUGACAGUCAAAGAUUCUACGUGUCCCGUGGGGUAGGAGCCGAAUGAACCAGCAUCCCUUUUUCGAGUAAACCUAACCUCCAAACCCAACCGAACCGUAAUUCCAUCCUUAUUAAUCCAAUAGAACCGAAUGACUCCACGCUAUGAGUGGUGCCUAAAUUUUUUUUUUCAAUAGAAAAAAUUUACACACUUUCCGUGCCAGUCUAAAGAAAAUAUACUAGUCCUUAAGGAACAAUGGAUAGGAAGCACCCCCUGUUCGGGGAUCUUGAAAUAUUGUGGAUCAAAGGAAUAAUGCCAGGGAGGAACGUGCUAACGAGGACUUCCCAUUCGACACAGCGAGACCUAAUUAUUCUCUAUUAGCACGUGUUAAUGCCCAUUGUCACGGCGAGGCCAAAGAAUGGCCAGUUAUUAUUCUUAUUGUUACCAAAAGGAGACGCCGUGCGAGCCGGCUCGUAAAACUUUGUGAAUUCAGUCCGUGUCGAUGUUUCGCUGGCAGGAUUAUUAAAACACGUAUUAGCACGGGGUAUACGACGUACUAAUCGUCGAAACAAUACGUGACCUCCGGCAGGAGGGUAAGGGAGGGGUUCACCUGUAUCCAAUUUGGAAAUGAAACCCAACACCCGACGGCUACCUGGCCGCCUGAACUGCCGCUUGUCUGCCGGGUUCGCCUUCUUUGACCUCUUCCAUCCUUUAUUCCCCCUUUAACCUAUAACACCGAGUGACUCUGGGCGUGCAAGAUCUCGUCACGAGAUAGAGCUCAUCUCCACCUCCGCGAAGGCUCAAUUCACCAGGUUCGAUUUAACAUGGACCCACUUAGGGAUAUUUUCGAAGUGCAAUUCGAGAAAUUUUUUUUUGAAAAAAUUCUACGCAAAUCGUUUUUCGAAAAACUGUCUAAUUCGAUAAAAAAUAUAUUUUGAGAAUUUAAUUAAAGGUUUUUUUUUUUUAGAAAAAAAUCAUUUUGCGUCGAUCAGAAAUAAUAUGUUGUUUCAAACGGUUUGUCGACGCACCGAGAUCUAUAGUGCGUUCACGUUAACUUCGUCCUUACACCUGGCUUAUACAUCGUGGAGAAUCUAAGGUCGAUCCUCCUUGGUCAAAUCCACGUACAGCGACUAAGAGUCUCGAACGCACGCAAGGAACACCUGGCGCGAGCGCAGUGUCUAUAGUCAUCCCGUGUGUGUGUAUCUGGAUACACAAGAUGAGAGCCGUUAGUGCGGUACAUAUCGCGGGAUCAUUUAAUUAUCGAGGAAGAAUAGGUGAAAAUAUGAGUUCGGUACGCGAGUCGCUGGCAACGCGAGGUCGUUGAGGUCGAAAGGUAAAGCCGUGAGAUAUUCCCACGAGAGCGAACCGAAACGGCACCGUUGGUUCCCGAGCACCCAUUAACGCGUAGAAAGCCGAGUCCGGCCGAGGAUGUACGUAAAAUAUCAAAGGAAAUGAAAACUGGGACCAGUUUCUGACGAUUAACAAUCAUUCGAACUAACCGCGCACCUGUGAGAGCUCAAGACGGAUCUCCAAGUGUAUACAUAUACACAGCGCGACUAUAUAUCGACGCGUCUACAACGAUAUUCGUACAAAUUAUAUAUACCGAACAAAUUGCAUUGAAUAUACACUAGAGAAAUAUAAAUGCGCACGUCCUGUCUCGCGCGAUGCUACCACACGAGUCGUUACAUAGAAACGUCAAUCAUUGUCGCGUCAUAAGCCCAAUAUUAACAGGUUCCCAUGGCAACGGCAUUAACAGUGAUCCAUCGACCGUGGAUACCGGUAGAAAAGAUUUUAAAAAAUCGGCGAGUCAUCGAUCGGUCUUACGGUGAGAUCAAUGAAAGAAAUAAUAAAUGUUAUUUUAAUAACAAAAAAA